GAUGAACGCUGACAGAAUGCUUAACACAUGCAAGUCAGCUUGAACUUCGGUUUGGGUGGCGGACGGGUGAGUAACGCGUAAAGAACUUGCCUCACAGAUAGGGACAACAUUUGGAAACGAAUGCUAAUACCUGAUAUUAUGAUUAUAUGGCAUCGUAUAAUUAUGAAAGCUAUAUGCGCUGUGAGAGAGCUUUGCGUCCCAUUAGCUAGUUGGAGAGGUAACGGCUCACCAAGGCGAUGAUGGGUAGCCGGCCUGAGAGGGUGAUCGGCCACAAGGGGACUGAGACACGGCCCUUACUCCUACGGGAGGCAGCAGUGGGGAAUAUUGGACAAUGGACCAAGAGUCUGAUCCAGCAAUUCUGUGUGCACGAUGAAGUUUUUCGGAAUGUAAAGUGCUUUCAGUUGGGAAGAAAAAAUGACGGUACCAACAGAAGAAGUGACGGCUAAAUACGUG
rnacentral:rRNA from 1 species